rnacentral:rRNA from 1 species
AGAGUUUGAUCAUGGCUCAGGAUGAACGCUGGCGGCGUGCCUAACACAUGCAAGUCGAGCGAUUUACUUCGGUAAAGAGCGGCGGACGGGUGAGUAACGCGUGGGUAACCUGCCCUAUACACACGGAUAACAUACCGAAAGGUAUGCUAAUACGAGAUAAUAUAAGAGAUUCACAUGGAUUUCUUAUCAAAGCUGAGGCGGUAUAGGAUGGACCCGCGUCUGAUUAGCUAGUUGGUAAGGUAACGGCUUACCAAGGCGACGAUCAGUAGCCGACCUGAGAGGGUGAUCGGCCACAUUGGAACUGAGACACGGUCCAAACUCCUACGGGAGGCAGCAGUGGGGAAUAUUGCACAAUGGGCGAAAGCCUGAUGCAGCAACGCCGCGUGAGUGAUGAAGGCCUUCGGGUCGUAAAACUCUGUCCUCAAGGAAGAUAAUGACGGUACUUGAGGAGGAAGCCCCGGCUAACUACGUGCCAGCAGCCGCGGUAAUACGUAGGGGGCUAGCGUUAUCCGGAUUUACUGGGCGUAAAGGGUGCGUAGGUGGUCUCUUAAGUCAGGAGUGAAAGGCUACGGCUUAACCGUAGUAAGCUCUUGAAACUGGGAGACUUGGGUGCAGGAGAGGAAAGUGGAAUUCCUAGUGUAGCGGUGAAAUGCGUAGAUAUUAGGAGGAACACCAGUAGCGAAGGCGGCUUUCUGGACUGUAACUGACACUGAGGCACGGAAGCGUGGGGAGCAAACAGGAUUAGAUACCCUGGUAGUCCACGCCGUAAACGAUGAGUACUAGGUGUCGGGGGUUACCCCCCUCGGUGCCGCAGCUAACGCAUUAAGUACUCCGCCUGGGGAGUACGCUCGCAAGAGUGAAACUCAAAGGAAUUGACGG